GCGACUGUAGCAUAAUGGUAAUGCGCCAGUUUGUGGAACUGGUGAAGAGGGUCCGAUUCCCUCCAGCCGCC
rnacentral:tRNA from 1 species